UGCUCUUUCCCCUCGUGCUCCGGUCUCCUUGCCAACCCGCGUUCCUGUGUUUGUUUUCACGUCUAAAGGGAGCGCUACGAAGGUGGAAAACGAGUCUGACGAGCAGACAAAAGAGGGAGAAGGGGCUGGGAAGCAAAGUUGUCUUGUUGGGCCUCCUGAGGUGGUAUGGAGCCGGCGGGGAAGGGAAACGUUUAGCCAGGCCAGCCGAGCAAAAGCACCGUCUCUCCCAGGAGUUAUGUAAUUUUUCACAACCUUGGCCUCUCCGACUUGAUUUCAGGCCAUCGGCGUAAUUCCCACAACUUCAUCCAACUGAAAAAUUAGGAAACACUAAGUGAAGGUUAAGCCGCAAAGGCUGCUGUGCCCUGUACACAGCAGGCACUCAAUAAUUGCUCAUGAUUCACUACUCCAAUCCCCAAGUGAUGUUUAUAUAACUUUUUUUAAGGCACCUUAAGUAGGUAUGAAAACUCACAGUAUUCCCCACCGAGUGUUUUUCUUAUAAUGCAUUUGGGUGUCCUCUCAAACGUGGAGUGUUAGCUCCAGACAGCAUUCAGGAGACGUUUAACUAACAUUGGUGCAAAAACAGCGACCGCUAAGGUUUAUCUCAUGUCUUCAUAAAUCUACACGACACCUUUCAUCAUGUUUCAGAGGUUAAUGUGUGCAAUUAACCCUCUUGAUAUGAGUUCAUUUCUAAGUAAUGGGAAACAAAACCAAAUAGAUGUAUUUAAUAAACAUAAAGUCAAUAAUAAUGUAAACAGUCUAAUCCCAAAGCAGAAAUAUGCAGUACUUUCCCCUUUUAUAAAAAGAUACCUAUUGUUUUGGCAGUAUAAUGUUUUUGAACAUUAUUAUUAUAAUCACCUCUUGACUGUCUCUGAUACUUGGACUUCUUAACCCAAGCCAUGGCUCAGUUGUGUUAGGGUGGACUGAUUUGUGUUGAGAGAAAGCUUUUUGAAACCAAAGCUUUCCAGAAGUCAGACUGGAGGAAUAUGUUAGAUUUGGACACAGUGUUUUUUCCAAAAUCCUUCUUUAGCAGCUCAUAAAAACUAUUUUAGUUUAUGUCAAUUGCGGUAGUUGUUUGCUGGACCAAGUGUAAAUAUUUUUACAUGGCUAAAUAGACAACUCUAGAUGUCGAGUGGGGUGUAGUAACGAGUAAAUGAGGGGGAAGGAGAACCAGGGUCGUUGCCGAGUAUAAAAGCAGAUCGUGAUGCUCUGGAAACAACUGGAAAACAGGGUCUAUAUCCUUGCAUAUGAGGGAGUACCAGCCAUAAGAUAAAUUUAUGCCAAAUCAUCAGUUUCUGCCAAGAAAAUACUACAUCUUUGUGUCUGUGCCUUUUGACAUUUUCCCCUUGGAUCUUCUCUUUAUAUAUUUGAAUGCAUACUAAUUAUAGGGUUGUACCACACAAGCUGAAUUCAAAGUUUCUCGUAUACAAAUAGAAAUAUAUGUCUGUUUUGUGUAUAUGUCUAUCGACAUUCUAAAAUCAAUUACAUAUUUAUGCUUUUAGACAUUUACAGUCAAACUAAAUAUAUACAUAUAAUCAUAAAAGUGUUUUUUUUCAAAAGAGUAAAAUAUAGCAAAGUCAAUUCAGACAAGCCAUAUGUUGUGACUUAUCCACAACCAUGCUUAAAAGAGCAAAUGAAUCAUCAAGUUCAGCUCUGGCCUGUUUCUUAGAAAUAUUUUUUUCAUGUCAAAAUCAUGAAACUAAAAAAAUAAAAUAAAAUUGAUAAUCAUGUGAGCAAAAUCUCAUUGAAUUCCAAGUCAACUCAAAGAGUGGAACUAAGAGGCAAUAACAUAGAGACCCCCCAGCACAGGGAACCCAACCUGCUAUAAAGGGUGACACAUGCCAGUUUUCCCUCCCCAAUGGCAGAUGUCACACCCUAAAGCAGACAGCCAGCCCUGCAGCCUGCAGGAGUAGAGGAACACAAAGCCGGCAGGACUUGGUUUUGUCUUUGGAACCACGGAGAAUUCUAAAAUGUCUUUUAAAACGAGCCUUGGCUGGAGAGGAAUGGAGUCCUGUGCUUAUUUUCAACUUUCCCAACACACCCCCUCAGGAAAACAGUGAAAACCUCUUAAAGUUGCACGUAAAAACCCAGUGCUCAAUAAGGAAAAUGGCAGUUGUCAGGGGUCUGGCAUAAAAUGAUGAAACAAGCUUGCGUUCACAAAAGCCCAGCUUCAACCCUGGCUUAUUUCCUUUGCCUACAAUGCAGUCCGGCCUUGGCUCUUCAGUCGAAAUCGCUGCAUUGGGUUUUUCUUAAUGAGUUUCUUCAUUUUUUACCUCAUGUGCCUACAUCUCCAACCAUAAUGACAGUUGUGUUUCUGCUGUCACCACAAGGAAGCCUUGGAGGUGGAAAUCUGCUGGUGGCCUUGGCUGUGCUCUGGCCCCAGCAAACCUCCCACCCACAGGGUUCUCCCCAGCCCUUCGUGUGUAGUCAGAGGAUUACCCAUUAUUUUCUUAAACAUGCCUUUCCAGUUACAAAAGGUUUUCUUUCUUCCCCCCAACUAUAUGGAAAUAUUAAUAUUCAAUACUGCUCCUUUUGAAUAACUUUUAGGGCCCCAAAUAAAAGGCCCUUCAACUUGCCCACUGAAAGAGAAUCAAGCCAGAUGGUAGUUUAAGAAUCCCACAGUUCUGUUCUUUUUGACUCUCCAAGGCCCAUUGCACUGUUUGCUCUUAGAUUAGUCCCUUUUUACUGUUCUUAUUUACCCGGCGACUGAAGCUAUCACGAUUCACUGCCCGUCAUAUUUCUCAGUAUUCUUUCCGUAAUUUGGAAGCAAUUUGGAAUAAAGCCCUGUCAAGGUUUUACAAAUAAGAACUAUUAAAGAAUAAAGCUUUGGAUACUUGCUUUCCUUUUAGAUUUAUGAGAGAUGCGAUGAAUGGGGCUAAUGGGAUUUCCCUACUGGUCUUGGUCAGGGACUUUAAAAAGCACUAAACAAUUGUCCUAUUCACUUCUGCGAUUUAGACGUUAGCAGUGAACAACUCGGAGUCGGUGCAGGGUGUGGGCUCUACAGUGUUGGAUUGGAAACAGCUAUGCAAAUCAUCACUGGCCUACUUGCCUGGCAUCUACUUCCUGCCGUGACCAAAAGAGGAAAACGUGUUACCUUUGCCCAGUCCUGAACAGGGAACAACUAUUACAUCGAAACACAGUGAAGUCGGCGCCUCAGUGUGUUCCAAAGGCCUUGACCAGUGAAGAACUGAGCUUAGAUUUCCUCACCGAAGGGCACCUAAUGGAGCUGUCCCUUGUUGGCAGCCCCUGCCAGGCAUCUAACCCUCCGUCCUCACAGCUCUGCCAACACUAAGACCACCAAUCCUAGGCUGAGCUUCCAGAAGCCUAUGUCCAGUUUAUGAUCAGGGCAGUAGGGUUUGUCUCCAGUGGCCCUGGGAACACGGGAGCAGCAGUGACCAUAUGAAGAAACACCUGACCACAUUUUAAUGCAUUGCAUGAUAUCGACUGUCUGUAUUUGGAGCGAUGUGUAAUAAAUAUUUUUAUUACAGUCUAGA